UGGGGAAUCUUGCACAAUGGAGGAAACUCUGAUGCAGCGACGCCGCGUGAGCGAUGAAGCCCUUCGGGGUGUAAAGCUCUUUCGACGGGAACGAUAAUGACGGUACCCGGAGAAGAAGCUGCGGCUAACUACGUGCCAGCAGCCGCGGUAAUACGUAGGCAGCAAACGUUGUUCGGAAUUACUGGGCGUAAAGAGUGUGUAGGCGGUUUUGCAAGUUUGGUGUGAAAUCUCCCGGCUUAACUGGGAGGGUGCGCCGAAAACUGCAAGGCUCGAGUACUGGAGAGGAAAGCGGAAUUCCUGGUGUAGCGGUGAAAUGCGUAGAUAUCAGGAGGAACACCGGUGGUGUAGACGGCUUUCUGGACAGUCACUGACGCUGAGACACGAAAGCGUGGGGAGCAAACA
rnacentral:rRNA from 1 species